AACCUAGCACACCUGCGGUGUGUACCUGCGGAAGGAUCAUUAACUAUGCGAAAGCAUAUUCCCGCCCGCGGCCUCGCGCCGCUGUGGUGACCACCCUUUGUGAACCUUUAUUUUUUGCUUCGGCAGUUCGCCUCCCGCGAGGGUCGCGGUAAAGCUGCCGACAGCCCACACCAUAAACUAUUUUGUUACCAGAAAUCAUGCAGUCUGAUUUACUUUAAUAUAAAAGUUAAAACUUUUAAC
rnacentral:misc_RNA from 1 species